CACACACACACACACACACACACACACCUACGGGCGGAGAGAAGGAAGCAACAAGUCUUUCUAUAAAAAGUUUUUUUUCAUCCUGGCACCAGACCAGGUUAGUUCCCAUCAAGGGCCGACAUACAGUAAGCACACGUUUCCAAAAUAUGAAGUAUUUUAUAUAUGAAGUAUAUGAAGCCCUGAUGCUAUUUCUCUGCUAUUAGGUAUUUUGAAGAUUUGGAUCUUAGAUCCUUUUGUUUUGGACGCGGUUCAACUAGGACAACUGUUGGCUCAUCUGUCACAACCUGUUUUACAUGGUGGUUAGUCCGCUGCCAGCAGUUGAGAAAUGCAGGGUAUUAUUAUUUUAAUUGUCUUUUUAUCUAUCCUCUUGUCUCCUGUCCUGAGCUCAGCAGGCCUGCUUUCUUCACAGUCUUAUUUACUCUUGGUAUCAGCUUGUCCUUAAAGUCAAGUACAAUCACGUGUCCACGUGGAGCUGGAGGUCUGCUCUACCAACCUGUAAAAUAAAUACAGACUCAAGACAAGACUGAUAUUAAAACAUUAAAACAGUUUCUCGUGGAAUAUCUGUAAUCUAUCCAUAAUCUUUCACUUCCCCUGAAACCUCACCAAAUGUUUGGCUCCUACCUUGGGUACACUCACACCUACGGGCGGAGAGAAGGAAGCAACAAGUCUUUCUAUAAAUUUUUUUUUUUCAUCCUGGCACCAGACCAGCUUAGUUCCCAUCAAGGGCAGACAUACAGUAAGCACACGUUUACAAAACAUGAAGUAUGCCCUGAUUUACCCGCGGCAGGUCGUCUGGACGGCGUGAUCAGGGACGGCGGUCCUGAGGACGAGGUUCGCUCAGCCUCCAAACCUCUACAGCUGUUCUGAUUGGGAGGACUGCUCACCCGGUAAUCCAACCUCUACUCGGCCCGGUGAAAGGAGCUCUGCCCAAACAGGCGACAGAACCACUGCACAUCAUUCAACCAGGGAACUGGGUAAUCAUUAAGGAGCUUCGCAGGAAGCAUUGGAACUCAAAACGGUGGCAAGGUCCCUUCCAAGUCCUUCUGACGACCACCACGGCUGUGAAGAUCAUAGAAAGAGCGACUUGGAUCUACUCCAUCCAGGAAGGUUCACAGCUUCGUGGUGUGUGCACUGAUCUCCCCAGCUGGUUUUUGGUUUGUUGAUGUGCACGAUUGUGGUGAAAAUUUUCCAUAAAAAAGCAGAUGAGAGACUUGUCCUUUUGUGCGAUUUAUUGAAAUAAUAAAGAAAAUAAAAAUAAUGGGGAAAGCAAAUAAAAGCAUGGAUGUUGAUCGUGCACAUCAACAAACCAAAAACCAGCUGGGGAGAUCAGUGCACACACCACGAAGGUGUGAUGCAAAGAGCCCACGAUCCUCAAGUUGCUUCUGCCUUUUAGCUUCUCUGUCCGACUAGGGUAGAAUGUCUUUCUAACCCAAUCAAAUUACAUGCACCAUCUCCUCCCUGUCGCAGUGUGUGUGAAGAUAUUUACAUUCUCACACCUGCAUUGCUGACGUCCAACUAUCUGUGAGAAAGGAGCACCAAGUCUCAACAGACAGAGACACAACUCCCUGACCUUGGGUUUGGGAGCUAGAGUUGAGAGUCUAUCAGGCAGAGACGACCAUUGAACAAUCUAGGUGAAAUGUCAAAUGCAUACAGUAAGACAAGGCAUAAGAUAUUAAUUGCAGAACAUAAGUCAUAAAUCAUAUAAUAACUGCAUAGAAAUAAGGAAGAGACAAUUUUUCCCAUAACAACAAUCAUCAUCCAUGCUUUUUAUUUGCUUUCCCCAUUAUUUUUAUUUUCUUUAUUAUUUCAAUACACAGGAGAUAACAAUUUUCUACCUUUCUGUGGCAUAACAAUGGCUUUACUAUCAUAUACCGAUGCAGCUGGUGCCAUCAGCUCUGGUGGAAAUUAGAGGAAACACAGAAUGUUUGUAGUGCAAGUACAGAGAGCAAAAGCAGAAGCAACAAGUCCAUCCAUCCAUUUUGCAAGCCGCUUAUUCCCAUAUGCGGGGUCACGGAGGUGCUGGAGCCUAACCCAGCUGGCUAUGGGCGAGAGGCGGGGUACAACCUGGAUGGGUCCACACAGAGACACAGAGACAUACAACCAUUCACACACACACACACACACACACACACACACACACACACACACACACACACACACACACACACACACACACACACACACCUACGGGCGGAGAGAAGGAAGCAACAAGUCUUUCUAUAAAAAGUUUUUUUUCAUCCUGGCACCAGACCAGGUUAGUUCCCAUCAAGGGCCGACAUACAGUAAGCACACGUUUCCAAAAUAUGAAGUAUUUUAUAUAUGAAGUAUAUGAAGCCCUGAUGCUAUUUCUCUGCUAUUAGGUAUUUUGAAGAUUUGGAUCUUAGAUCCUUUUGUUUUGGACGCGGUUCAACUAGGACAACUGUUGGCUCAUCUGUCACAACCUGUUUUACAUGGUGGUUAGUCCGCUGCCAGCAGUUGAGAAAUGCAGGGUAUUAUUAUUUUAAUUGUCUUUUUAUCUAUCCUCUUGUCUCCUGUCCUGAGCUCAGCAGGCCUGCUUUCUUCACAGUCUUAUUUACUCUUGGUAUCAGCUUGUCCUUAAAGUCAAGUACAAUCACGUGUCCACGUGGAGCUGGAGGUCUGCUCUACCAACCUGUAAAAUAAAUACAGACUCAAGACAAGACUGAUAUUAAAACAUUAAAACAGUUUCUCGUGGAAUAUCUGUAAUCUAUCCAUAAUCUUUCACUUCCCCUGAAACCUCACCAAAUGUUUGGCUCCUACCUUGGUGCAGCAGGCGGUUGAGCUCUGGACCACAGCUGGUGUUGUAGAUCACCACCCUGUCCACACCCAGCAGCCUGGGGGAAACCAAAAUGAAACUCAUUUAUUAUUUACUGUUAACACACCUUUUGGCAGUUUGUUGGAAUUCAAGGAAGAAUUGUUGAAAUGAUAUUUAGGGAAAAUGCCUGUCCUGACCUAAUCUGAUCCUACAGUUUUGCACUUGACCUCUUAAGGAGGUGGAGGAACAGCGACUGUUUUUAAAAAAAAACUUCAAAUGCAAACAGUGUCCUUUCUGUUCUCCAGCUUUGAGGUGACUUUAUUUAAGGUGGGUUGCUCUGACCCAGUACUGUGCACUGUCACCUACAGACCUCCCAAAUAUAACAGGAUGUUAUGAAGGAUUUUUCUCACUUUCUGGCUGAUAUGAUGCCCAACUAUGAUCAUCUCCUCAUUGUUGGAGAUUUUAAUAUACUGUGUAUUUGUGUUGCCCUGAAAAACAUGACACAGAGGAAUUUGGUUCCUGGUUUUACUCCCCUGUUGUGCCCUACUGGACUUCGUGGCCCCAUUAAAAACCAUGCUAAAGCUAAAUCUGAGGCUUGGCUCAGCAACAGAACAGAGCAGAAGUGGAAAAAAAAUGAGCUGCAGGUCUGUUUUCAAAUUCUAUUGAGAAUUGAACCCAGGACUUUUUGCCGUGAGGUGACAGUGCAACCCACUGCACCACCAGGCUGCCCACACUGCAGGCCCCUUGGCUCAGUCCGAGAAGCAGACAGGUUCAAACCUGGGUUUUAAAAUGGACUGUGAUUUUAAGUUGGAUCGCCAAAUUAUUGCGGUUGUAAAGUCUGUUGUUUUCCACCUUAAACCGCUGGCUAAAGUAAAGCCUUUCGUUUCAUGGCAGCACUUUGAAACAGUGACCCAUGCCUUUAUUACAUAUUGGCUGCAUUACUGUGAUGCACUGUGUUUUGGAGUAAACCAGUCCUCCCUUGCAUGUCUCCAACGGGUCCAAAAUGCUGCUGCUCUUGUUAUGGUUGGAAAACUCCCAUUCUGGCGUCUCUCCACUGGCUGCCUGUGCAGAGUUCAUUUUAAAAUGCUUUUAUUUUGUUUUUAAAUCAUUAAAUUUUAAAUCAACGGUCUUGCCCCAUCAUCUGUUUCUCCCUUACACGCCCUUUCGGUCUCUCGGGUCAGCGAGUCCAGGCGGAAGCUCAGAGGUGACAGAGCUGUUGUUGCCUUUGCGGUGCCUAAAUUAUGGCGUGCCCUACAUGUAUCACUGCACAUUAGACAGGCACCUGCUUGAAGACCCAUUUUUAUUCUCUGGAUUUUAACUCUGCAUGAGACUCUGUUCCUGUUUUGUUCUAUUGUUUUAUUCUUUUGUAUUUAUUGUCGUUUUUAUUUGUGUUAAGUAUUGUUUUAAUUGCUUGUUUUUAAUAUUGUCUCACCAUGUACAGCACUUUGGUGAGCUAAGGUUGUUUUAAAGGGCUUUAUAAAUAAAGUUGAGUUGAGUUGA